GCCAGGCGUGGUGGUGCAUGCCUGUAAUCCCAGCUACUCGGGAGGCUGAGGCAGGAGAAUCGCUUGAACCCGGGAGGCAGAGCUUGCAGUGAGCCAAGAUUGUGCCACUGUACUCCAGCCUGGGUAACAGAGCAAGACUCUGUCUCAA
ensembl:misc_RNA Metazoa_SRP Metazoan signal recognition particle RNA